rnacentral:rRNA from 1 species
CCCUUAGAUGUUCUGGGCCGCACGCGCGCUACACUGAUGCAUUCAACAAGCCUAGCCUUGACCGAGAGGUCCGGGUAAUCUUUGAAACUGCAUCGUGAUGGGGCUAGAUUAUUGCAAUUAUUAAUCUUCAACGAGGAAUGCCUAGUAAGCGUGAUUCAUCAAAUCGCGUUGAUUACGUCCCUGCCCUUUGUAUACACCGCCCGUCGCUCCUACCGAUUGAAUGUGUUGGUGAGGAGCUCGGAUUGGCAGCAGUUGGUGGUUCGCCACCGGCUAUUGCUGAGAAGUCCUCCAAACCGCCCCAUUUAGAGGAAGGAGAAGUCGUAACA